rnacentral:rRNA from 1 species
UAGGGAAUCUUCGGCAAUGGACGAAAGUCUGACCGAGCAACGCCGCGUGAGUGAAGAAGGUUUUCGGAUCGUAAAACUCUGUUGUUAGAGAAGAACAAGGACGUUAGUAACUGAACGUCCCCUGACGGUAUCUAACCAGAAAGCCACGGCUAACUACGUGCCAGCAGCCGCGGUAAUACGAAGGUGGCAAGCGUGGUCCGGAUUGAUUGGGCGUAAAGCGAGCGCAGGCGGUUUCUUAAGUCUGAUGUGAAAGCCCCCGGCUCAACCGGGGAGGGUCAUUGGAAACUGUGAGACUUGAGUGCAGAAGAGGAGAAUGGAAUUCCAUGUGUAGCGGUGAAAUGCGUAGAUAUAUGGAGGAACACCAGUGGCGAAGGCGGCUCUCUGGUCUGUAACUGACGCUGAGGCUCGAAAGCGUGGGGAGCAAACAGG